CUCAAGCGGUGGAGCAUGGGGUUUAAUUNGAAGCAACGCGAAGAACCUNAUCNGNUNUUGACAUCCUNUGACCUNCCUAGAGAUAGGGCCUUGGCCUUCCAGNGACAUAGUGACAGGUGGUGCAUGGUUGUCGUCAGCUUGUGUCAUGAGAUUUUUGGUUAAGUCCCGCAACGAGUGCAGUCCUUUACCUUAGUGAGCAGCAUUCUGUUGGGCANUNUAAGGUGNUUACCGGGGACAAACCGGAGGAAGGUGGGGAUGAAGUCAAAUCAUCAUGGGCAUUAUGUCAUGGGCUCCACACCUGUUCCAAUGGAUGGUCCAAAGGGCUGCGAGGCCGCGAGCAUAAGCCAAUUCCAUAAAAGCAUUCUCAGUUCGGAUUGCAGUCUGCAACUCGNGGGCAUGAAGCUGGAAUCGCUAGUAAUCGCGGAUCAGCAUGCCGCGGUGAAUACGUUCCCGGGCCUUGUACACACCGCCCGUCA
rnacentral:rRNA from 1 species